rnacentral:rRNA from 1 species
AGCGAACGCUGGCGGCAGGCUUAAUACAUGCAAGUCGAGCGCCCGUAGCAAUACGGGAGCGGCAGACGGGUGAGUAACACGUGGGAACAUGCCCUUCGGUUCGGAAUAACUCAGGGAAACUUGAGCUAAUACCGGAUACGCCUUACGGGAAGAUUAUCGCCGAAGGAUUGGCCCGCGUCCGAUUAGCUAGUUGGUGAGGUAACGGCUCACCAAGGCGACGAUCGGUAGCUGGCUGAGAGGAUGAUCAGCCACACUGGGACUGAGACACGGCCCAGACUCCUACGGGAGGCAGCAGUAGGGAAUAUUGGACAAUGGGCGAAAGCCUGAUCCAGCCAUGCCGCGUGGGUGAUGAAGG